GAAGAUAAUCUGUUCAAUCUUUUCAAAGGUACAUUGGUGAAAUGCAGCAACCAGAUAAAAGAAAUGCAUUACUCCAUCACCACACUGAUGCUCCAUCUCCCUCUGAUGGCAAGUGCGACCCUGAUGAAGCUGCUCCCCUACAUCAAGGACUACCCCAACAGUGCGGCCUUGAUGGCACAACUCCCAUACACCAAGGACUAGCCCCAUGGUGCGGCCACGACAUCACUGCUCCCCUACACCGCCGACUACAACCUGAGAUCUUAGAACAGGUUUGCAGGUUCAUUGGAACAAAUGUUCAAAAGGAAGAUGCACAGUAAGAAUUACAGUAAGAAGUUCAACUACGAGCCCAGACAUGAGGUAUUUUAACCGCCAACAGAGGGUGUGUUGCGCGAAAAAAUAGUAAUCUUCGCUCCAAAUUCUUAGGUCACUGGCCCAGAUUGAUGCACGAGAGCUUCUAGAUGUUCUUCUCGAUCUUGAAUAUUCAUUUUCUCCAACUAUGCAAGAUUUGCUUGUGUAUAAGUUUGAUAAGGCCAGGGGCAAGAACAAAGUGGUUGAUUCAUUGAAUGAAGUAUGCGUUAUGUACAGUCCUCCAGAAUUCAGAAAUUGAUCUAUAAUUCUGUGAAGAGAAGGUUUUCAAACCCAAAGGAGCAUUGGCAACCUUAGGGACUUGGGCGCCAACGUGUAGUCCCAGCAGAAGUUGCUCACCCGGAAGGUGGUCUUCUCCAAGGCCUCCCUAGCCUUUGAACAAGACCGCUCCAUCAAGGGUAAACCAUUGAGUGGCAAUGAUACAUGUGUGUCCAUACGACAUAGUGAUUAGCAGCAUGAGGUGCUGAGCACAUCGCGUGUGUGUCUGUAUGUGUGCGCUGAUAUGUGGUUCAUGAGGAACAAACUGAUUAAGCAUGCUCCAAAGCUACGAGCGACUGAACUAGGUAUCUUUUCUAUUUUCAUGGUGAAGCCUGGUUUUAACUGCUAAAGAAUAGCAGGAGAUGGAAUCAUUGAAAUAUAAUCAAUUCUUAAGUAAAUGAACUGAGACUUGAUGGUUGUGUGUUAUUGGUACAAUAUGUAUUUUGGGCCUGAAUUGUGAAGCAAAUCGAGAAUUCCUGGUUACUUAUUAUUAGUAUAGUAUACCUUUUUUGGGCCUGAAUUCUGAACCUUGCUGAUUUUUUUGGUAGUGUGUUAUCAGUGUAGUAUGCAUUUUUGGCCUGAAUCCUUAACCUUAUCUAGGUAUUGAUUUUCUGCAAUCAGUGAAGCACUCAUGGUCAUGCUUAUUUGUUAGUCUACAUUACUUAUAGAUUUAGUUGUUUUGAUAUGUAUCCAUUCGUCGGUUAGUUAACUGAAAUUUGUUGGCAGUGGUUCUUUAUGUUCUUUAACUGUUAUACAGAAGCAGCGGACUGAAACAUUUAAAAACAAUCAGCUCUUUAUGAAUUAACUAAAGACUUGAUGGUUGCGUUAUUAUUAUAGUAUAUACAUUUUUGGGCUUGAAUUACAAAUCUGAUUCAAAUAUCCUUGUUUUGUGUUAUUAUGAUGGUAAUGUUAUCGAGCUUUGUUAAUGUUUUUUUCCUUUCCUUCCUGAACUUCUGAUACUCUCUGCACUGAUGAAAUGUUUUUGCAUGUCAGUUAAGUACCAGGGCAACCACAGAUGAUGUUCCUUCCUUUCAUUGAGUUGCCUUACUGUUAUGUCGUCCAACUUUUUGUUAAUAUACACACUCGACAACUUACUGUUAUAACGUCCAACUUUUUGUUAAUAUACACACUUGAUUCUGGAACCCAUGAACUCUUUGUCUCUCCGAGGACAUGUUUCACAUCUACUCCUGUUUGUAAAAAAACAUUAUAGUCUAUUAUGUGUUAUAUAGUCAAAAAAUACAUAAUUGGUUCUCUUCUAUGUGCUUUCCUUAAUGAAUACACUUGGUUCACAAAAGCCUUAGCAUAAUUUGUUGAACAAGUUUUGCCUAAUUUUAUUUCUUGCAUCUCCUGUGGUAAGUUUUAUUUCUUGGUACUUGUAAAAUUGUUCAGAUUACUUAGCUUCGUUCAACUGCUGUGUUGACUAAAUCUACUGUGCCUAUAAACAUACGUGCUUGCCCGUGACCAUGUCGGCUAUGUUGUUAUUCUUUCUUGAAUUGGUAGGUUGAAACCAAGAGGGCAUUGUAAACUUUGAUGACACUUUGUGGGAAACCAAUUACUUCAUGGCCAGAGGUGAUUUUGGAAUGGAGAUUUCAGUUGAGAAGAUAUCCCUUGCACAGAAAAUGAUGAUCUACAAGUGCAACCUUGCUGGUGAGCCUGUUGUCACAGCGAUUGUAGGCAACAUCCAUUCCAAUUGUCCAUUGGUUUAACUGCAGUUUUUUAUGUACAAUUUAUAGGCCGGACUGAUUUUUUUUACUUGCCCUGAUGAAGCUGUAGACUAUACACAUAAGUUGCUGAUUUUGCAUGCUAUACUUGUGUAAAUGUUGUUCCACCUUCCCACUUUGUAAUUUCAUGGCCAUUUCAGAUGAUCUAGACAUUUAAUGUAUGGAAUUUACAUUGGCACUAAAUAAGGAAUAUUGAAAGAUAGUAUGCCACAAUAUCUGUUAUGAGGUAAAAAAUAAUAAUUUUCUCACUUUAAUAUUUUA